rnacentral:snRNA from 1 species
GCGCUGGCUUUGGCAGCACAUAUACUAAAACUGGAACGAUACAGAGAAGAUUAGCAUGGCCCCCUGCACAAGGAUGACACGCAAAUUUGUGAAGCAUUCCAUAUUUUU